AGAGUUUGAUCCUGGCUCAGGACGAACGCUGGCGGCGUGCUUAACACAUGCAAGUCGAACGAGAUCCUUCGGGGUCUAGUGGCGAACGGGUGAGUAACACGUGAGCAACCUGCCCUUGGCUCUGGGAUAGCCUCCGGAAACGGGGAUUAAUACCGGACAGGACCGCGGAAGGCAUCUUCCGGGGUGGAAAGUUUUUCGGC
rnacentral:rRNA from 1 species